rnacentral:RNase_P_RNA from 1 species
CGGAAAAGCCGGGCAAUCGCUCAGCUGCGCUAAAGCUUCGUUGAGCAGGCUCAACAAUUAUGGAAUUAAAGGCAUAAUUAGAGCAGGAACAGUGAAGCUUUAGCGUAGAUUGGGAGGAAAGUCCGGACACCAACAAGCACCACGCUCAGCGAUCCUUCGGGCGUAGCUGAGGCGCUUAUUUGGCGACGAAUAAGUGACAGACAGUGCAACAGAAAGAAAACCGACUAAUGCGAAGCAUUAGAAGUUCCAAAAACCAAAUUCCAAAGCUCAAAUAAAUCAUAAACUACAAUGCUUAAUAAUUAAAAAUUGUUUGGAAUUUGAAUUAUUGAAGAUUGGAAUUUCCAAUGCUUCGCAUUGGCCAAGGGUGAAAAGGUGAGGUAAGAGCUCACCGUGCCGUACCGUGAGGUCGGUAGCUAGGUAAACCUCGUGGGGUGCAAGUUCACGUAGGGCAGUAUUCGCCGCUUGUCGAGACGCUGUCGGGUAGAAUGCACCAGAUAAAUGAUUGCCGAAUCCGCCAGCUGGCGGAGGAACAGAAUCCGGCUUAUAGGCUUUUCCGCAGA